rnacentral:rRNA from 1 species
AUUGAACGCUGGCGGCAGGCUUAACACAUGCAAGUCGAGCGAGCGGCGGACGGGAGCGUAAUGUCUGGGAAACUGCCUGAUGGAGGGGGUUCACUACUGGAAACGGUAGCUAAUACCGCCUUCCAUCAGCUGUGCCCAGAUGGGCUUAGCUAGUUGGGUGGGUAAUGGCCCACCUAGGAGACGAACCCUAGCUGGUAUGAGAGGAUGACCAGCCACACUGGAACUGAGACACGGUCCAGACGCCUACGGGAGGCAGCAGUGGGGAAUAUUGCACAAUGGGCGAAAGCCUGAUGCAGCCAUGCCGCGUGUGUGAAGAGGGCCUUCGGGUUGUAAAGCACUUUCAGCGAGGAGGCGUUACUCGCAGAAGAAGCACAGGCUAACUCCGUGCCAGCAGCCGCGGGAAUUC